AGAAUCGCUUCUGAAGAUUCUUCGAGCCCAAAGAACCCACAGGACCCAGGCCAGGACCUAGGUUGGCCGGCCUGGGCACCAGCAUUUUGAGGUCUUCGGGGAGGGGCAGACAGGUCUGCUUCCAGCAGCCUCGGCUGACUGACAGGCUCCCGCCCGACCCUGGGCUCCGGCCGUCAUGCACCACCAUCUUGCAACGGAGGGGCCGCA
rnacentral:lncRNA from 1 species